AAGCAGACAGUUAUCCCUUUCUAGUCUCCUUGUGACUUUAGAGGGAGUCAGUCUGCAAAAUUAAAUGGUGAGCUGUUUCUGUCCAGCAUCACAGUGUGUUGGUGGUGGCUUCAGCCUUGCCAAACAUCA